rnacentral:lncRNA from 1 species
GAACCGAGAAAUAAUAUGAGGGGCCAUCCUGUUCGGCCCUAGGCACCCUAGUUGGCACUAGGUGCCUCUUUGCCGGUGAAGGUCAGCCCACCCAGGUAAGUUCUCUUAACUUGAGUUCGACCCGCCCCGACCCGUCUCCCCCUUUACAUGUUUACCUAAAUACCUACAUUUCCCACCCAGUUUCCUCACAUAAUAAUAUAGAAUAACUUCAUAAUAAACCAUUUCCCAAUCGUCUCUUUCUAUCUCUAUCUCCCUCUCUCUCCUUACCUCUCCUCAUCCUCUCCAGCGUACAAUUAAGUCCCCUCCUCUACCUCUCUUUAAUUUUUCUUUAUCUUCCCAUUCUCUCUCUCAAUCUCCCUAUCUUGCCCAAACCACCAUUCGGAGAGGUUGAUAGACCAUUAGCCAUUAAGGGCAUUGCUGAGGAUGUCAAUGUAGGUGAAUCUAGGUACCAUGGAUCAAGGCAGGCUCGAGGAUUUGUUGAUGAGGAGUCCCACGAAGAGGGCUCAGAGUACGAAUUGAAUAGGUCCGAUUAGCCUUGAGAGUUCCUUCUUUCCACCCUCUGGUAUGAUUGUUUUGUAUGUAAAUUGGGGAGACUGUAUUUUUUAAGUAUGGGGCCGGGGGACUUCCUCUGAUAAUUAGUAGUAAUAUGAACUUCUAAUUUUAUUUAUUAGCUUCUUAUUUUUUAUUUGCUUAGUUAGUAGAAUUAGUAGUAUAGUAUAUUUGUAUUAGUUUUAGUAGAUGAAUUUGAAAAAAAUCAAAUAAAUUCAAAAUUCAAAAAAUCUAGAAAACCUUUGGACUUUUCCCGACGAUCGAUCUUUUGGACAACUUUAUUGAGGGAUUAAUGUUCAAUGAAAAAUUCAAAAAUAUUUUCUUUUUUUAGUUAGUCGUAGGUAGAUAAUACUCCCUUGGUUUUUCUUUAAGAUCGGUUUUUUUUUCAAGAGAUGUAACUUGAGCCAACUGAGGAAAAAAACUUAGUGUUCCUAUAUGCCUUUUGACAUGUUUGAUGCUAGCAUAGUUAGGACAUAGCAUGCAAUUUACCUUCAUGGCAUGUUUUGAGAUAAAAUUGAUGUCGUGAAUAAAUUGAAUAGCCUAUUUGUGAUGCCUUCUCUAUGUUUCUUGACUCGUUGUUCAUGUAGUGCUUUAUUGCUUAAUAUGUCUUGACUUUGUGAUUACUUGCUUUAACUUGAGAGUUGAAAUGGAAUCGCCUCGACGGCAGUCAUGUGCAAUGUGUGAUGUGGGCUCUUGAUUAUAUUUUGUGCUAUCCUAUGUUAGUCUAGAACUUUUUUCGUGUGUUAGUCGAAGCAAAAUAAUUAUGUUUUGUGAGUCUAGGAUAUAACAUAGGUAUCUAUUUGAUUGUUCAUGGAGCUAUUACGCCACCAUAUAUAAAAUUAUCCUUUAUUAGGCCAUUUGAGCAUAUAAACUUUUUCUUUGGCACCCAUAUUACAAGAUGGUUUCCAUUUUUUCUUAAUUGAAUCUUGUUGAACCAUGGCAUUCGAAAGCAUUUAAGUCGCUAGAAGAGCAAGGUCAGAGUAUCUUUUAAGUGGAUCCAUAGAAAGGCCAAAAUUUGCACGUAUGUUUUGAAAGAUCAUUAGACGGGAACACUAAAUUUAUGGAGAGUGUUGGAAAAAAAGUAGAAAAUGAAAAUACAAAAAGAGAAGAAAAAUGAAAAAUAGAAAAUACAGCUCUAAUUCGCCUUAAUUCUGGCUAGUGAAUGUAUAGAUGUGCUUAAAGAAAAAAGGGCCAAAUUGUGUAUGAUUUCAUGGAAUAAAUUUGGUAUGAAGAAUGGAUACUUGAAAGUUAAGUGUAGUGGAUUAAAGUUCAUAGGAGGGUUAGUCCCUAUACCCAAAAUAUAUCCUACCUAUCCCUUAGCCAAUAUUACAACCCGUAAUGACCUAGUUGAUCCUAGGUUUCGCGAGCUUAAAUUAAUAGAGACAUACACUACGGGCAAGCCUAUGGUACGACCUUGGGAUGCACAUGAAAUUCUUUGUGAGAGUGAGUGAUUUCUUUUAUUCAUGAUAUCCUUGAAUUCACAUUUGAAACUCUUGAUUUGAGUGUGUACAACAUAUUCUCUUGUUCUUUGGCGAGGGAACAUGAUUAUUAACUGUUUGUGUAGCUUGGCAAGCCAUCCCUCAUGUGUUGUUGAAGUCAGCCCCUAUUUGGCAAGCCAUCCCUUACGGAUUCUCGAAGCUAUCUUGGCAAGCCAUCCCAACUAGGUUGUGAAGCCAUCCUUUUUAGGGAACUUUCGUAUCUAUAAUUUAGUUUGUUUUCUUUGGAGUCUCUUACUCUAUUUGGAAAUUAUUUGCCAACUGGAAUGGAUAGAUGACAUUAUUAAAUUUCUCUUGCUGGGUGAAUGCAUAAGUUAAGAGUGCUUAUUGGAGAUGAGUCGGUCUUUGAGGUUGGGUGGUUAUGGGAAUGUUGUUUGAAUUUGAAUAUACUUCAGCAUGUGAAAGUUGGGAUGUACUUGAAUGCAUAUGCAAUGGCUUAAUUGUUGGUAUCAACCAUGAUCAUAGGUAUAAUACAUUGAAUUUCUAAAUGUUCCUCCAUUGUAUGAUAUCUUGUGUGGCAUUGUUGGGUUAGUAAAGUGUUAGCUUGCUCGAGGACAAGCAAGAGCUUAAGUCUGAGGUGGCAAUGUUUGGUUAAAAAUUUCAUAUUUUUUGCAUGUAAUUUACCCUGCAUUAUGCCUCGAUCUAGUUCACUAUGGAAUGAAUAUUUAUGAAUUGAGCAUAAUAAUGGUGCUUAUAUGUGUAGGAGGCAAUUGGAAGUGAUUUAAAAAUAUUGUGAGCAAAUUAAAGCCAAAACGGAUGAAAAUUGAGGGAGUAUGACUUUGGUAUCAAGUUGGAGUCUUGCCACUUUCAAAAUGUAGGGAAGCAGAGCACAAAAGUGGGAAAUUUUGGGCGCCCAUCAUAGGGCCAGGCGCCUCCCACGUCGCUAUUGGUAGCAUAGUAGAAAGUUGGCGCACAACUUGGCUCCAGACACCUCUCAUGAUGCCUUAGAGGUAAUGUUUUGCAGUAGUAGUCUUAGUGAAAAAAACCAUCAUUUUUUAUUAUCUUGGACAAUUAAUUAUUUUUAGUUAGCUUAGGGAAGUAAACAUACCCAAUACAAUAUUUUGUCUUAUCAGUUACUGUCACGAUCCAAAAUCCCACCUCAGUUCGUGAUGGCGCCUAGCCGUACUUGCUAAGCAACAUAACUCGCAACUAAUAGAAUAUAAUCCAAUUUUCUUUAUUUAACAUAGUUAGAUAAUAAAUAAAAGCAAGAAUAAUCUCAAACAGUAAAAUAUCUCAUACAAGUAAAACAUGGUCUAAACACGUCCAAAACAAUACUACCCCCAAGAACUAAGUGACACGAGUACACGAGCAACUACAUAAUAAGUACAAGUCUGAAUACUUGAACUGUCUGUGAGAAAGAAAAUAAACAGGAGAUAAAUAAGGACAAGGACUCCAUCUGCUGCGGAUCGAAGCAGUGUAGUAGCUCACCAUGAAAGCCCUAAUAACACGCUCCUACUCAGCUCAAAAGGUAUCAUAAUGCCACUCUCAAAACUUGUACAAAUAUGUACAAAAACUUACUAUAAGUAUACCACACUCGGUGCCAGUAAGUAUCAAGUCAAACCUCGAGGAAGUAGUGGCGAGAUUAGAUGCAUCCGAAUACUUACAACACAAAAACAAUACAAGCCUGAAAUUGGAACAGUAUAUAUCCUCAUGAUCAAUAGGAAUAAAGAUAUAAAAAUAUUCGAAAGACCUAAAGCAUGCUUUUUCAAUUUACAGAUAAUCAUAAUGUUGCCCAACUAUGGCAUGUAAAACUGGCAUGCUUCAAUCAACAGAGUCGAGGCUCCCAACUAGUAUGUAUGCAUGGCGUGCAAUAGUUAACAUUUAAAUGAAUGCUUCUAAAUGAAUCCAUAAUAUGAAUGAGCUCAAACCAUUAUAAGAUCCAUGCACCCCGAUACAAGAUCCAUGUAUCCCGAUACACAAUCCAUGUAUCACAACAACCCAAUACAAAUUCAUGUCGACCCAGUACAAAAUUCAUGUACCGACCACACUUACAUGGCCUAAAGUAACAUGGGCAAUCACCUAUCUCCAGAGGGACGAUACCAAUCCAAGCACAAAGAGAGGCAUAUAGAAAACCCUCAUAAAUAGAGUUAUAAUUUUUAAUCUAUCGCUAACAAAUAGUAGCUUGUAUCAGGAGUGAUGGUACGUCUUUAAUGCUAGACUCUCGAACUCCAUGACUGCUCUUUUCCAAAUAUCUACAUGCAAGGUGGAGAAAUAUAGUAUGAGUACAACUGACCCCAUAUACUCAGUAAGUAUCUUCACUAACGUCGGUGAAGUAGUGACGAGGUGUUUAAGUCAAAAGAUACUCACUAAUAUAACCUAUUUAGUUAAAUUUGCAAUAGAAACAACACUAGAAAUAACAAAGUAGAUUACAAAAACAAUUACGAAAAGUAGUAAAUGAUUAACUAAAAGAGGUAACAGUCAGUUUUCUCAAUAUCACAACCAAUCCUUUUCUAACAUCUCAAUUCAUAAGUUUAAAGCAAUAACCACUAGAACAACAUAGUAAACCCACGAAUCUUCAUAAUAUGAGGAAUAUGCUCAAUAUAUCAAUUAAAUGGCACGACAACACUCUUCGUGCAUUUAUCUCAUCCUCACAAAAUAUAUGCAUGCAUAUCAAAUUAAUUGGAAUGGAAACACCGUUUGUGGAUUUAUCUCAUCCUCGCCAAGAAUAUGUAUAAUAGUACCAACCAGAUAGAAGGAAUACCAACAACAGUAACAACGAAGUAGAAGGUACACAGAUAACAAUAACAAAUAAGGCAUAAGUGUAUGGAUAACGGUAACCGACAAGGUAGGAUGAACAUAAGUAACGAUGGAAAAUAAGAUAGGAUAACAUAGAUUUCAAUAACAAACAAGGUACAAGUUUAAAUAAAACAACAAUAAAUGAGCGAAGACAUGGAUGUAAAUAUAACAAAUAAGAAGGAAGCAUGAAUGUAACAAAAUAAUAGAUAGAAGGCAUGGAUAGAACAAUAACAAAUAAGGUUAAAUGCAAAGACAUGAUAACAAUAAGCAAUACAAAAAGAAUAGGUGCAACAAUAACAACUCAAGAUAAAGGUAUGAAGGUAUACGCUAUGGAUAAAUAAUAAAAUAUAAUGCAUGUCUCUCAUCUUCGGCUGCAAGGAAUAACCUUCAUGCCAUCAAAUAUCAUCCUCACAUUAUAAUAUAAAAACAAUAGCAUGGUGUUACUCUUCGUGUUUUACUCUCUUCCUCAUAUGAGAAUGUAAAAACAAUGGUCUACAUCACCCUUCAUGUGUUUACUCGCUUCCUCACAUGACAAUAUAAAACAAAUGACAUGACAUCUCCCUUCGUUCUUUAUACUCUUCCUUACCAAGCACAUAUACAUCAAAACAAGUAAGUUAGGAAGCAUAGAUAACAUCAAGAAGAGAGGUUAAGCAAAAUAUACCAUAUGAACGACACUCACGUCUUUUGCACCAGUAAAAAAAUCAAUAAACUUCAAGAACCCCGUGUUUCAAGUACCUCAAUAAAGCUCAAGCAUGAUAUUCAAUAUAAGUAUGGAACUCAAGUAUCUCAAGAAUAACAGACAUAGAUAUGUAUUAGUAAUUUUGGUAUAGUUAUGAACGAAUUUAGCACAUCAAUAUUUUCACAAAGAGUCUAUCAAAUUCAAUCAAGUUGUAGUAAGCUAAAGCAUGGUCUUUGACAUUACAAUUGUACUCAUACUAUUAUAAAAGUCAAGUAAAACAUUAGGCAAGAAAAUCACGAAGUCCAACAAGGCACUAAGAAUCAUAUAAUCUACCCCAAAUAUGAAUAACCCUGACACAUGCAUAUACACCCAUCACCUUGCAUAUACAUUAUCCACGCAUAUAGCAAACAUUAUCAUUUAAUUAGGAAAACAUCUCUCAACAAAGCUAGGCAAGAUACUUACCUCUUUCUGGAACACAAUAAACUAUCCAAGAUGACUUUUUUUUAAAGCAAGUCUCCAAACCAAUCAAAUCUACUCAAAUAUCGUUCAAAUAAUUCAAAACAAGCUUUAGAAACUACCCUCGAAUGAAAAAGGUUAAAUCUUUAACAUAAUUGGAAAAGUCAAUAUGGGUCCACGUGAUUGAAAUAUGAGAUUAAGACCAAAUCCUGAUUACAUAUUCACCCUAAGCACAUGUAUGUGAUUUGUUUCGAAAUUCAACCUCAAUUCGGGGUCUAAAUCUCAAUUUUACAAGCUUUCUAAAUUCUACCCAAACUCUCCAAUUUCUACUUUAAAAUUCAUAGAUUUGAUGAUGAAAUUCAUGAAAACGAUUUCUACAAACAAUUCGGUCAACCAUCAAUCAUAGAUAAUUCAGAUUAACAGGUGUAAUUACUGUCAUGACCCAAACUGAAGGGCCAUGACUAGCACCCGACCACACUUGCCGAGCACCAAUGCACAUUUCAUCUAACCUUCAUUAUUAUCUUUUAGGGCUGACGAGAUCAAUAUAAAUGGUAGACCUAGAUCAUAGACAACCAGCAAUAAAAUAUGACGGCAUGAACAUACAUAGCAGGGGAUGACCAGACAAUCAAGAAACUACAUAUAAGGUAUGAGCUACCACGCUACUAUGAAAGACUAUACAACAAAAACUAGCCGACAAGGCAUACCAAACUAUACAUGA